UACGAAGGGGGCUAGCGUUGCUCGGAAUUACUGGGCGUAAAGGGCGCGUAGGCGGCCUUCUAAGUCAGACGUGAAAUCCCACGGCUUAACCGUGGAACUGCGUCUGAUACUGGAGGGCUUGAAUCCGGGAGAGGGAUGUGGAAUUCCAGGUGUAGCGGUGAAAUGCGUAGAUAUCUGGAGGAACACCGGUGGCGAAGGCGGCAUCCUGGACCGGUAUUGACGCUGAGGCGCGAAAGCUAGGGGAGCAAACGGG
rnacentral:rRNA from 1 species